rnacentral:rRNA from 1 species
GAUGAACGCUGGCGGCGUGCCUAAUACAUGCAAGUCGAGCGAACGGACGAGAAGCUUGCUUCUCUGAUGUUAGCGGCGGACGGGUGAGUAACACGUGGAUAACCUACCUAUAAGACUGGGAUAACUUCGGGAAACCGGAGCUAAUACCGGAUAAUAUUUUGAACCGCAUGGUUCAAAAGUAAAAGACGGUCUUGCUGUAACGUAUAGAUGGAUCCGCGCUGCAUUAGCUAGUUGUUAAGGUAACGGCUUACCAAGGCAACGAUGCAUAGCCGACCUGAGAGGGUGAUCGCCCACCCUGGACCUGGGACACGGCCCAGACUCCUACGGGAGGCAGCAGUAGGGAAUCUUCCGCAAUGGGCGAAAGCCUGCCGGAGCAACGCCGCGUGAGUGAUGACGGUCUUCGGAUCGUAAACCUCUGUUACUAGGGAAGAACAUAUGUGUACGUAACUGUGCACAUCUUGACGGUACCUAAUCAGAAAGCCACGGCUAACUACGUG